rnacentral:tRNA from 1 species
GCGAGAGUGGCGGAAUUGGCAGACGCACCAGACUUAGGAUCUGGCUCCUCACGGAAUAGGGGUUCAAGUCCCCUCUCUCGCA